rnacentral:rRNA from 1 species
UACGAAGGGAGCUAGCGUUGUUCGGAAUCACUGGGCGUAAAGCGCACGUAGGCGGAUGUGUCAGUCAGGGGUGACAUCCCGGAGCUCAACUUCGGAACUGCCCUUGAUACAGCACAUCUGGAGUCCGGAAGAGGUGGGUGGAAUUCCUAGUGUAGAGGUGAAAUUCGUAGAUAUUAGGAAGAACACCGGUGGCGAAGGCGGCCCACUGGUCCGGUACUGACGCUGAGGUGCGAAAGCGUGGGGAGCAAACAGG